rnacentral:rRNA from 1 species
CAGCAGUGAGGAAGGUGGGUAUGUUAAUAGCAUAUUCAUUUGACGUUAGCUGCAGAAGAAGCACCGGCUAACUCCGUGCCAGCAGCCGCGGUAAUACGGAGGGUGCGAGCGUUAAGUCGGAAUUACUGGGCGUAAAGACGCAUGCAGGUGGUUUGUUAAGUCAGAUGUGAAAGGACCCGGGGCGUCAACCUACGGAAUUGCAUUUAGUAAACUGGACAAACUAGAGUACUGUAGAGGGGGUAGAAUUUCAGGUGUAGCGGUGAAAUGCGUAGAGAUCUGAAGGAAUACCGGUGGCGAAGGCGGCCCCCUGGACAGAUACUGACACUCAGAUGCGAAAGCGUGGGGAGCAAACAGGAUUAGAUACCCUGGUAG